rnacentral:rRNA from 1 species
GACGAACGCUGGCGGCGUGCCUAAUACAUGCAAGUAGAACAGUUGCGAACGGGUGUGUAACGCGUAGGGAACUGCCUCAUAGGGGGGGAUAACUAUUGGAAACGAUAGCUAAUACCGCAUAGUUUGAGCUGGACCUGCGUUGGAUUAACUAGUGGGUGAGGUAAAGGCUCACCAAGGCGCCGAUACAUAGCCGACCUGUGAGGGUGAACGGCCCCCCCUGGACUGAGGCCCGGCCCAGAAUCCUACCGGGGGCAGCAGUAGGGAAUCUUCGGCAAUGGGCGGAAGUCUGACCGCACAACUGCGGCUGAGUGAAGAAGGUUUUCGGAUCGUAAAGCUCUUUUGUGAGAGAAGCGUUAACUAACCAGAAAGGGACGGCUAACUACGUGCCAGCAGCCGCGGUAAUUC